GGCGACAUAGCCAAGCGGUAAGGCGAGGGUCUGCAAAAUCCUUAUUCCCCGGUUCAAAUCCGGGUGUCGCCUCCA
rnacentral:tRNA from 1 species